UACGUAGGGGGCUAGCGUUGUCCGGAAUCAUUGGGCGUAAAGAGCGCGUAGGCGGCCCGGUAAGUCCGCUGUAAAAGUCAAAGGCUCAACCUUUGAAUGUCAGUGGAUACUGCCGGGCUAGAGUCCGGAAGAGGCGAGUGGAACUCCUGGUGUAGCGGUGGAAUGCGCAGAUAUCAGGAAGAACACCAACGGCGAAGGCAGCUCGCUGGGACGGUACUGACGCUGGAGGCGCGAAAGCGUGGGGAGCGAACAGG
rnacentral:rRNA from 1 species